GAUGAACGCUGGCGGCGUGCCUAAUACAUGCAAGUCGAGCGAACGGACGAGAAGCUUGCUUCUCUGAUGUUAGCGGCGGACGGGUGAGUAACACGUGGAUAACCUACCUAUAAGACUGGGAUAACUUCGGGAAACCGGAGCUAAUACCGGAUGAUAUUUUGAACCGCAUGGUUCAAAAGUGAAAGACGGUCUUGCUGUCACUUAUAGAUGGAUCCGCGGUGCAUUAGCUAGUUGGUAAGGUAACGGCUUACCAAGGCAACGAUUCAUAGCCGACCCGAGAGGGUGAUCGGCCACCCCGGCACUGAGACACAGUACAGAUACCUAAUGGAGGAAGCAGUCAGGGAACGUGCGUAAUGGGCUGAAGAAUGACAGAGCAAAGUCGCGCGAGUUACGAAGGUCGUCGGAUUCGAAAAAUCUCUUAUUCAGGCAGAACAAAUGUGUAAGUAACUGUGAACAUCUUGACGGUACCUAAUCAGAAAGCCACGGCUAACUACGUG
rnacentral:rRNA from 1 species